UUGAUCCUGGCUCAGGAUGAACGCUAGCGGCAGGCCUAAUACAUGCAAGUCGAACGGUGUCUUCGGACAUAGUGGCGUACGGGUGCGUAACACGUAUGCAACCUACCUUACAUUGGGGGAUAGCCUUUCGAAAGGGAGAUUAAUACCGCAUAAGACAGUAACUAGGCAUCUAGUAGCUGUUAAAGAUUUAUCGAUGUAAGCUGGGCAUGCGUCCAAUUAGUUAGUUGGCGAGGUAACGGCUCACCAAGACUAUGAUUGGUAGGGGAACUGAGAGGUCAAUCCCCCACACUGGCACUGAGAUACGGGCCAGACUCCUACGGGAGGCAGCAGUAGGGAAUAUUGGGCAAUGGACGCAAGUCUGACCCAGCCAUGCCGCGUGCAGGAAGAAGGCGUUAUGCGUUGUAAACUGCUUUUAUACAGGAAGAAACGACUCUUGCGAGAGGCAUUGACGGUACUGUAUGAAUAAGCACCGGCUAACUCCGUGCCAGCAGCCGCGGUAAUACGGAGGGUGCAAGCGUUGUCCGGAUUUAUUGGGUUUAAAGGGUGCGCAGGUGGUUUAUUAAGUCAGUGGUGAAAGACGGUCGCUCAACGAUUGCAGUGCCAUUGAAACUGGUAGACUUGAGUAAAGUAGAGGUGGGCGGAAUUGAUAGUGUAGCGGUGAAAUGCAUAGAUAUUAUCAAGAACUCCAAUUGCGUAGGCAGCUCACUUGGCUUUUACUGACACUCAUGCACGAAAGUGUGGGUAUCAAACAGGAUUAGAUACCCUGGUAGUCCACACUGUAAACGAUGAUAACUAGGUGUCGGCCGAAUCUGGUCGGUGCCACAGCGAAAGCGUUAAG
rnacentral:rRNA from 1 species